rnacentral:rRNA from 1 species
AAGCCAGACUCCUACGGGAGGCAGCAGUGAGGAAUAUUGGUCAAUGGCCGAGAGGCUGAACCAGCCAAGUCGCGUGAGGGAUGACGGCCCUACGGGUUGUAAACCUCUUUUGUCGGGGAGCAAAGAGAGUCACGUGUGACUCAUUGAGAGUACCCGAAGAAAAAGCAUCGGCUAACUCCGUGCCAGCAGCCGCGGUAAUACGGAGGUUGCGAGCGUUAUCCGGAUUUAUUGGGUUUAAAGGGUGCGCAGGCGGCACGGCAAGCCGGCGGUCAAAUCGCGGGGCUCAACCCCGCCCAGCCGUCGGAACUGCCGGGCUAGAGUGGGCGAGAAGUGCGCGGAAUGCGUGGUGUAGCGGUGAAAUGCAUAGAUAUCACGCAGAACUCCGAUUGCGAAGGCAGCAUACCGGCGCCCAACUGACGCUGAAGCACGAAAGCGUGGGUAUCGAACAGGAUUAGAUACCCUAGUA